UAGUUGGUGAGGUAACGGCUCACCAAGGCAACGAUGGGUAGCCGGCCUGAGAGGGUGACCGGCCACACUGGGACUGAGAUACGGCCCAGACUCCUACGGGAGGCAGCAGUGAGGAAUAUUGCGCAAUGGCCGAAAGGCUGACGCAGCAACGCCGCGUGGGUGAUGACGCUCCAAGGAGUGUAAAGCCCUGUUAGGAGGGAAGAACGACAUUGGCGUGAAUAAUGUCAAUGCAUGACGGUACCUCCAGAGAAAGCCCCGGCUAACUCCGUGCCAGCAGCCGCGGUAAUACGGGGGGGGCAAGCGUUGUCCGGAAUUAUUGGGCGUAAAGGGCGCGUAGGCGGAAUAAUAAGUCAGAGGUGAAAACCAUGGGCUUAACUUAUGGCUUGCCUUUGAAACUGUUAUUCUUGAGUGCGGAAGAGGGAAGUGGAAUUCCUGGUGUAGCGGUGAAAUGCGUAGAUAUCAGGAAGAACACCGGUAGCGAAGGCGGCUUCCUGGUCCGUAACUGACGCUGAGGCGCGAAAGCGUGGGGAGCAAACAGGAUUAGAUACCCUGGUAGUCCACGCCGUAAACGAUGGGCACUAGGUGUUGGUUCACGAUGAGUGGAUCAGUGCCGAAGCUAACGCAUUAAGUGCCCCGCCUGGGGAGUACGAUCGCAAGGUUGAAACUCAAAGGAAUUGACGGGGGCCCGCACAAACGGUGGAGCAUGUGGUUUAAUUCGAUGCAACGCGAAGAACCUUACCUGGGCUUGAACUGAAGUGGCUCGCCACCGAAAGGUGGUUUUUCCUUCGGGAACUGCUUCAGAGGUGCUGCAUGGCUGUCGUCAGCUCGUGCCGUGAGGUGUUGGGUUAAGUCCCGCAACGAGCGCAACCCUUGCCCUUAGUUGCCAUCAGGUUAUGCUGGGAACUCUAAGGGGACUGCCCCGGAUAACGGGGAGGAAGGUGGGGAUGACGUCAAGUCCUCAUGGCCCUUACGUCCAGGGCUACACACGUGCUACAAUGGCUGGUACAACGGGAAGCGAUAUCGCGAGAUGGAGCAAAUCCUUAAAAACCGGUCUCAGUUCGGAUUGCAGUCUGCAACUCGACUGCAUGAAGUUGGAAUCGCUAGUAAUCGCGGAUCAG
rnacentral:rRNA from 1 species